rnacentral:rRNA from 1 species
GAUGAACGCUGGCGGCGUGCUUAACACAUGCAAGUCGAACGAUGAAGCCCAGCUUGCUGGGUGGAUUAGUGGCGAACGGGUGAGUAACACGUGAGUAACCUGCCCUUAACUCUGGGAUAAGCCUGGGAAACUGGGUCUAAUACCGGAUAGGAGCGUCCACCGCAUGGUGGGUGUUGGAAAGAUUUAUCGGUUUUGGAUGGACUCGCGGCCUAUCAGCUUGUUGGUGAGGUAAUGGCUCACCAAGGCGACGACGGGUAGCCGGCCUGAGAGGGUGACCGGCCACACUGGGACUGAGACACGGCCCAGACUCCUACGGGAGGCAGCAGUGGGGAAUAUUGCACAAUGGGCGCAAGCCUGAUGCAGCGACGCCGCGUGAGGGAUGACGGCCUUCGGGUUGUAAACCUCUUUCAGUAUGGAAGAAGCGAAAGUGACGGUACCUGCAGAAGAAGCACCGGCUAACUACGUG